UGGCGGACGGGUGAGUAACGCGUAAGAACUUGCCCUUAGACUGGGAUAACAGAGGGAAACUUCUGAUAAUACUGGAUAAGUUAGUAUAUCGCAUGAUAUGCAAAUGAAAGCUACGGCACUAAAGGAGAGCUUUGCGUCCUAUUAGCUAGUUGGUAAGGUAAGAGCUUACCAAGGCGAUGAUAGGUAGCCGGCCUGAGAGGGUGGACGGCCACAAGGGGACUGAGAUACGGCCCUUACUCCUACGGGAGGCAGCAGCU
rnacentral:rRNA from 1 species